rnacentral:rRNA from 1 species
CAGCCGCCACGGUAAUACGGAGGGUGCGAGCGUUAAUCGGAAUUACUGGGCGUAAAGCGUACGCAGGCGGUCUGUUAAGUCAGAUGUGAAAUCCCCGGGCUUAACCCGGGAACUGCAUUUGAAACUGGCAGGCUAGAGUCUCGUAGAGGGGGGUAGAAUUCCAGGUGUAGCGGUGAAAUGCGUAGAGAUCUGGAGGAAUACCGGUGGCGAAGGCGGCCCCCUGGACGAAGACUGACGCUCAGGUACGAAAGCGUGGGGAGCAAACAGGAUUAGAGACCCCAGUAGUCCCUGUCUCUUAUAC